AACGAACGCUGGCGGCAUGCCUAACACAUGCAAGUCGAACGAGGCCUUCGGCCAUAGUUGCGCACGCGUGCGUAGCGUGUGGGAAUCGGCCCUAAGCUUCGGAAGAACAGUGAGUAAUUGCUGCUAAUACCGGAUGAUGUCUUCGAACCAAACAUGUAUCGUCCAGGGAUGAGCCCGCGUAGGAGGACCUGGUUGGUGGGGUAAUCGCCGACGAAGGCGACGAUCCCUAGCUGGUCUGAGAGACUGAUCCGCGACCCUGGGACUGAGACACGGCCCAGACUCCUACGGGAGGCAGCCGUGGGGAAUAUUGGACGAUGGGGGCAAGCAUGAUCCAGCACGGCCGUGUGAGUCAUGCAGGUCUUAGGGUAGUACAGCUCUUUUACCCGGGAUGAUACUGACGGUACCGGGAGAAUAAGCUCCGGCUAACUCCGUG
rnacentral:rRNA from 1 species